rnacentral:ncRNA from 2 species
GCCGGAGAAGGCGCCUGAGAGAUAGCGACUAUAUCCACGGGUAGCAGCAGGCGCGAAACUUUCCCACUCGAGACUUUCGGAGGAGGUAAUGACCAGUUCCAUUGGUGCCUUUUGGUACUGUGGAUAGGGGUACGGUUUUCCACCGUACCGAAACCUAGCAGAGGGCCAGUCUGGUGCCAGCAGCUGCGGUAAUUCCAGCUCUGCGAGUUUGCUCCCAUAUUGUUGCAGUUAAAACGCCCGUAGUCUGAAUUGGCCAGCAAUGGUCGUACGUAUUUUUACGUUCACUGUGAACAAAUCAGGACGCUUAGAGUAUGGCCACAUGAAUGACUCAGCGCAGUAUGAAGUCUUUGUUUUCUUCCGAAAACAAGCUCAAUGAGAGCCAUCGGGGGUAGAUCUAUCUCAUGACGAGUGGUGGAAUACUUUGACUCAUGAGAGAGAAGCUGAGGCGAAGGCGUCUACCUAGAGGGUUUCUGUCGAUCAAGGGCGAGAGUAGGAGUAUCCAACAGGAUUAGAGACCCUGGUAGUUCCUACCUUAAACGAUGCCGACAGGAGUUUGUCAUUUGUUAAUGGCAGAAUCUUUGGAGAAAUCAUAGUUCUUGGGCUCUGGGGGAACUACGACCGCAAGGCUGAAACUUGAAGGAAUUGACGGAAGGGCACACCAGGGGUGGAGCCUGUGGCUUAAUUUGAAUCAACACGGGGAAACUUACCAGGACCAGAUGUUUUUUAUGACUGACAGGCUUCGGGUCUUUCAGGAUAUUGUUUUUGGUGGUGCAUGGCCGUUGGUGGUGCGUGGGUUGACCUGUCUAGCGUUGAUUCAGCUAACGAGCGAGAUUAUCGCCAAUUAUUUACUUUGCCGAAGUCCUUCGGUUAAAGUUCUAAUUGGGACUCCCUGCGAUUUUAGCAGGUGGAAGAGGGUAGCCAUAACAGGUCCGUGAUGCCCUUUAGAUGCUCUGGGCUGCACG